rnacentral:rRNA from 1 species
AGUCGGACGGUAGCACAGAGGACCUGGCUCCUUGGGUGACGAGUGGCACACGGGAGAGUAGUGUGGGGAGAUCUGCCCGAUAGAGGGAGAUAACCUGUGGAAACGGUGGCUAAUACCGCAAAACCUCACAAGACCAAAGAGGGAGACCUUCGGGCCUCUCUCUAUCAGAUGAACCCAUAUGGGAUUAUCUAGUGCGCGGGGUAGUGGCCCCCCUACGACAAUAUCCCUAUCUGGUCUGAGAAGAUGACCACCCACUGUGGAACUGACACACGGCCCACACUCCUACGGGAGGCAGCUGUGGGGAAUAUUGCACAGUGGGCGCACCCCUGAUGCACCCGUGCCGCGUGUAUGAAAAGGGCCUUCGGUUUGUAAAGUAUUUUCCGCGGAGAAGAGGGAGACGGGGUUAAUACCCCUGUCUAU